CGCUUUUUUCAUUUAUUGUCAUUUCCAUUCAAUCACAGCUGAGGCAUGAAUCCUUGAUUUCACUCGGUUUAAAAGCCCUGCCUCCAGCAUGCAGCUGGCACAUUUGAAAGACAUGGCGGCAGAAAAACUACACAAGUGGACGGAGGCCCAAACCAGAGCCCUCAUUCAACAGAGGACUGACAAUGAGCACCUGUUUACAGGAAAGAGCUUCACAGCCAAGAAGGCCUGGGGAGAGGUUCUGCAGAAGAUGGAGUUGGAGGAGUUGCUCACUCCCACCUAACUGGCAAAAAAGUGGGACAACCUGAAAAGAAAAUAUAAGG